UUCAACGCGGUAAACUGAACGCCUGCCCGUUGGAUUCUCUUAAAUGACUUUAGUCUUCCGUGUCGACUGUCUUCUAGCGCCGUCGAGUGGACGAGGAACCAUCCGAGUGCAUCGGACGAUGUCACAAUCCACUCGGAAUGUUCCUUGUGGUCCUUAAACUAAUGGUGAGGGGUCCUUGGGUAGGACAUAUGGGUCAGGCCCAUGACCCUACCCUAGGGCUAUGUCCCCGUCAUUAGCCCUCAAAUGGAUUAAGGUCCGAGUGGUGAAGGUGUCAAUGCAAAAUCUUGUAGCAGUAGACUGAACUUGAGCUUUGCAGAACGGUGCGUCAAUUGGAAUCUUCAUCAUUCGUCCUGACCGAUUCUGCAGAGUUGCAAGCCCGAGUGACUUUGGGUACUUGAAGUUACACCAAUUGAUUGACGAUAUCUUUGGAUGUGAUGGAUCACUUCGGCAGGUUCGGAUUUCAUGGGAUUUGAAGUUUUGGUUUGCGCGCGCUGCACGGGGAUGACGCAACCGCUAAGGUAAGUGGGGUAGCGACGCCUCGAUUAUCGCGCCGUCAUCAUCGACACACGUCAAAUCUCCUAUGUUAUUGGGAUAAGAUGGGAUCUGCGGAGCCUACCAGUUAGCGAUACAGUCGGUCGAUUAUAUAAAUGCGGUCGGCGCUAGGGUUUGAACGGCCCUGCGCUGUUCCUCUUCCUCUGCUCUUCUUCUUCCUCCGCUUCUCCAAAAUCUCUGCGCCCCAGAUCGAAUCGCGCUGCGGCCGGGAUGACGAAAGGUCAGACCAGCAAGUUGGAGAGGGAGAAAAAGGCCGGCAGCAAGCAGAAGAAGUCGGGCGGCCGUGCGCCGCCUUCACGGGGUUGGAUCCACGGAGACUUUCUCAAUUCUUCCGUUCGGUAAGAAGAACUCCUGGGGCUCGUCGAGCACGGGAUGUUGGCUGAGAAAUCAUGGAGGUUGCCCGACAACGAGGUCGAGCUGGAGCCGCAAGAAGAGGAGCGAGUCCUCCUUGUGACCCACAUUGAACGAGGUAUUUCUCUUCCUCCUCAUCCUUUCAUCCAUGGAUUUCUGAAUUUCUUUGGAGCUCAGUUGCACCAUCUUCCCCCCAAUGCUAUAGCACAUCUCUCUGCAUUCGUGACCUUGUGCGGAAGCUUCUUGGGUUGCCCUCCUCAUUGGGGGUUAUUCAAGUAUCUCUUUAGUGUACGAUCUCAGUCGGUUAAAAAGGUCAAGCCGACUGAUGAUAAGACCCACAUGAUCCAAUUGUGUGGGGGCUUGGGGCUUCAGGAAAGAAGCAAGAGUGAUUACCCCCACAUGACCCUUCCUGAGUCGGUUCGCAACUGGCAGUCGACUUGGUUUUAUUGCAAUGACUUAGCUUCUCCUGGGAUGUCGAGUGCUCUUCCUCCCUUUACUCUUUAGCGACCCAUACCUCUUAGGAUCCUGUCCAUGUCGAGUGAAGAGAAAUCCCAAGUAGAGCCUCUGGUAGAUAAGUUGAUCGGCCUGAUGCGCCGAGGAGUGACUGGGAUGGAUUUGCUGGAGACAUUCCUUGCGCGGUGCAUUCAGCCUCUCCAAGCAACGGACCAUGCCAUGUGGCAUUACUCGGGCCCAGGGGAUUCCACUCGGUCCCAUCCAGAAGAGGUCGAUGAAGACAAAGUGGCCAAGUGGAUUCGCAGCAUCACCGACCCUUGUAAUAAUCCACUCGGGUCCAAGCGGGUGUUACCUUACUCUUUCGGCAAUCAGCCGAAGAACGUGGAGUGGACGAACUUGUUUUCGCCUGUGCCGAACGGUGCUCUGCUCGAUGUCGAGGAAGGGAGCAUGGAGGGUAGCGCUGAGGAGGACUACGUGGAGGACAGUGAAGAGGACGAGGAUGACUCGGAAGAGAGCAAGGAGGAGGUCUCCUCUCCUUCUCACGCCGAGCCCCGGACCAAGCAGUGCCAUGACCCAACUCCCACGUCGGGCAAAGCCUUGGCGUCGAGCAGUCGCAACAUUAAGAGGACCAGAGAUGCAUCCGGCUAGCCCAUGGAGAGGACCGCCAAGCAACCAAAGCCCAGCGAGCCGAAGACUCGGAAGGCCCCGCCCAGAAUGAGAAUAUCCAUUCGAGUCGCAUUAGCAGCUGCAACUUCCGUGACGUCAUUGCCUGGAGGAGAAGAUCACAUGGACGUGGACACCACGGACGUGGUCACCUCCCAACGCAGUAUGAUCAACUUCCACUCU